rnacentral:rRNA from 1 species
UACGUAGGGAGCAAGCGUUGUCCGGAAUCAUUGGGUGUAAAGCGCGCGUAGGUGGCCACAUAAGUCCGUUGUGAAAGUCAAAGGCUCAACCUUUGAAAGCCGAUGGAUACUGUGUGGCUAGAGUACGGAAGAGGCGAGUGGAAUUCCUGGUGUAGCGGUGGAAUGCGCAGAUAUCAGGAGGAACACCAAUAGCGAAGGCAGCUCGCUGGGACGUUACUGACACUGAGGCGCGAAAGCGUGGGGAGCGAACAGG